CCUACGGGUUGCAGCAGUGGGGAAUAUUGGACAAUGGGCGAAAGCCUGAUCCAGCCAUGCCGCGUGUGUGAAGAAGGCCUUCGGGUUGUAAAGCACUUUCAGUGGGGAAGAAAGCCUUUGGGCUAAUACCCUCGAGGAAGGACAUCACCCACAGAAGAAGCACCGGCUAACUCCGUGCCAGCAGCCGCGGUAAUACGGAGGGUGCGAGCGUUAAUCGGAAUUACUGGGCGUAAAGCGCGCGUAGGCGGUCUGAUAAGCCGGUUGUGAAAGCCCCGGGCUCAACCUGGGAACGGCAUCCGGAACUGUCAAGCGAGGGUGCAGGGGAGGAAGGGAGAAUUCCCGGUGUAACGGUGAAAUGCGUAGAGAUCGGGAAGAAUACCAGUGGCGAAGGCGGCCUUCUGGACUGACACUGACGCUGAGGUGCGAAAGCGUGGGUAGCAAACAGGAUUAGAUACCCCGAGUAGUC
rnacentral:rRNA from 1 species